AAUGAACGUUGGCGGCGUGGAUUAGGCAUGCGAGUCGAGCGAGAACCGUAGCAAUACGGGGACAGCGGCGAAAGGGACAGUAACGGGUAGAUUAUCUGCCCUCAGGUUUGGGAUAGCUGCGGGAAACUGCAAGUAAUACCAAAUAAUAUCUCCGGAUCAAAGGUGUGAUUCCGCCUGAGGAUGAGUCUGCCUCCUAUUAGCUUGUUGGUGGGGUAACGGCCUACCAAGGCAUUGAUGGGUAGCGGGUGUGAGAGCACGACCCGCGUCAUUGGGACUGAGACACUGCCCAGACACCUACGGGUGGCUGCAGUCGAGAAUCUUCGGCAAUGGACGCAAGUCUGACCGAGCGACGCCGCGUGUGGGAUGAAGGCCUUCGGGUUGUAAACCACUGUCAGAGGGGAUGAAAUGCAGGUGGGUACUCCCAUUUGUUUGACAUAGCCUCAGAGGAAGUACGGGCUAAGUUCGUGCCAGCCGCCGCAGUAAAAC
rnacentral:rRNA from 1 species